AUUGAACGCUGGCGGCAUGCCUUACACAUGCAAGUCGAACGGUAACGGGUCCUUCGGGAUGCCGACGAGUGGCGAACGGGUGAGUAAUAUAUCGGAACGUGCCCAGUAGUGGGGGAUAACUGCUCGAAAGAGCAGCUAAUACCGCAUACGACCUGAGGGUGAAAGGGGGGGAUCGCAAGACCUCUCGCUAUUGGAGCGGCCGAUAUCAGAUUAGCUAGUUGGUGGGGUAAAGGCCUACCAAGGCAACGAUCUGUAGUUGGUCUGAGAGGACGACCAGCCACACUGGGACUGAGACACGGCCCAGACUCCUACGGGAGGCAGCAGUGGGGAAUUUUGGACAAUGGGCGCAAGCCUGAUCCAGCAAUGCCGCGUGCAGGAAGAAGGCCUUCGGGUUGUAAACUGCUUUUGUCAGGGAAGAAAUCUUCUGGGCUAAUACCCCGGGAGGAUGACGGUACCUGAAGAAUAAGCACCGGCUAACUACGU
rnacentral:rRNA from 1 species